AACGCGAAAGCUCCCUUCGGGGAGCAAGUAGAGUGGCGCACGGGUGAGUAACACGUAGGUAAUCUACCUUUGGAUGGGGAAUAACAACCGGAAACGGUUGCUAAUACCGCAUAAUGCAGCGGCACCUAAUGGUGACAGUUGUUAAAGCGGGGGAUCGCAAGACCUCGCGUCUGAAGAGGAGCCUGCGGCAGAUUAGCUAGUUGGUAAGGUAACGGCUUACCAAGGCGAUGAUCUGUAGCCGGCCUGAGAGGGCGGUCGGCCACACUGACACUGACAUACGGGUCAGACUCCUACGGGAGGCAGCAGUCGGGAAUUUUGGGCAAUGGGCGAAAGCCUGACCCAGCAACGCCGCGUGAAGGAUGAAAUCCCUCGGGAUGUAAACUUCGCAAGAACGGGAAGAAUAAGUAAGGGUUAAUAUCCCUUGCGAUGACGGUACUGUUUGUAAGCUCCGGCUAACUCCGUGCCAGCAGCCGCGGUAAUACGGGGGGAGCAAGCGUUG
rnacentral:rRNA from 1 species